GCUGGGCAUGGUGGCGCGUGCCUGUAAUCUGGCUACUCGGGAGGCUGAGGCAGGAGAAUUGCUUGAACCCAGGAGGCAGAGGUUGCAGUGAGCCAAGAUCAUGCCAUUGCACUCCAGGCUGGGUAACAAGAGUAAAACUCUGUCUCAAAAAAAAAAAAAAAGUUCAGAUUCUUUUUUUUUUUUUUUUUUUUUUUUUGGUUAGAGACAGGGUCUUGUUCUCUUCCCAGGCUGGAGUGCAGUGGCACAAUCUCGGCUCACUGCAACCUCUGCCUCCUGGGUUCAACUGAUUCUCCUGUCUCAG
rnacentral:sRNA from 1 species